AUGGCCAAAAGUAUCAUCAAAUUGGCACGUUGCUACCUAAAGAUAAUGGAGAUAAUGCUCUCAGGCCAAAGUUUGCUCAAUUGUACAUUUUAUGAUACAGAAAAUGAGGUCAGAAACAGAAUGCAGGCUUCAACCUCAAAGGGAAGGAAAACACAACUUGAUGAAGGCAUUGUGUCUGGAUUAUUGCAGAUGCUUGAUGAUCACAAUGAGUUACUGAAAUCAUUCCGUAUGGCAAGGGAUAGAUACCGAGAGUCGGAUCUCGAAAAUGUUAGGUUGCUAUUAAUUGGUACAAGAUCCAGUGAUGGAAGACAAUACAACCUACCAACUGCAUCUGAAAUAGCUGCACUCAUUGUUGGGGAACAGACAGGAGAAAAUGUUGAACGUGAUAUAAUACUAUAA
rnacentral:rRNA from 1 species